CUCCAUGUGAUUCUCAGGGAUCACUACAGCUCCUUUAAAAGCGAGAAGCGUGUGGGGAACGUUUACUCCAAGGCCACCUCGUUCGUGGACUACGUCUGGAGAGCCCUCCGGAGGCUGGAGCUGGAUGAGUCAAAGCUCUCUGACAGUGUCAUACAGGGUUCUGA